rnacentral:tRNA from 1 species
UCUUUGAUAACUCGGUCGUUGGAGCGACGGACUGUUAAUCCGCAGGCCCCUGGUUCGAGUCCAGGUCGGGGAGCCA